GGCAAAAGAGAGCUUGAUUGCAAGACAUACAGGUCGAGCAAGGAUGAAAAUCGGACUUAGUGAGCCGGUGGUUCUGCGUGGAAGGGCCAUCGCGCAACGGAUAAAAGCUACCCUGGGGAUAACAGGCUUAUCUCCCCCAAGAGUCCACAUCGACGGGGCGGUUUGGCACCUCGAUGUCGGCUCAUCACAUCCUGGGGCUGUAGUAGGUCCCCAGGGUUGGGCUGUUCGCCCAUUAAAGGGGUACGCGAGCUGGGUUCAGAACGUCGUGAGACAGUUCGGUCCCUAUCCGUCGCAGGCGUAGGAAAUUUGAGAAGACCUGUCCUUAGUACGAGAGGACCGGGAUGGACGUACCUCUGGUGUACCAGUUGUUCUGCCAAGGGCAUGGCUGGGUAGCU
rnacentral:rRNA from 1 species